rnacentral:rRNA from 1 species
UACGCAGGGGGCUAGCGUUGUUCGGAAUUACUGGGCGUAAAGCGCACGUAGGCGGACAUUUAAGUCAGGGGUGAAAUCCCGGAGCUCAACUCCGGAACUGCCUUUGAUACUGGGUGUCUUGAGUGUGGAAGAGGUGAGUGGAAUUCCGAGUGUAGAGGUGAAAUUCGUAGAUAUUCGGAGGAACACCAGUGGCGAAGGCGGCUCACUGGUCCAUUACUGACGCUGAGGUGCGAAAGCGUGGGGAGCAAACAGG